UUGGAAUAAUACUAGAGAAGAUUAGCAUGGCUCCUGUGCAAGAAUGACAUACACAUUCAUGAAG
rnacentral:snRNA from 1 species